CUCGAAAUGCAGAGGCGAUACCAGAGAUGGUAUUUCCGUAAGGACUUCUGUAUAGGUGCUGCAUGGCUGUCGUCAGCUCGUGCCGUGAGGUGUUGGGUUAAGUCCCGCAACGAGCGCAACCCUUAUCAUUAGUUGCCAACAUUUUAGGUGGGGACUCUAAUGAGACUGCCUGGGUUAACCAGGAGGAAGGUGAGGAUGACGUCAAGUCCGCAUGGCCUUUAUGUCUGGGGCUACACACGUGCUACAAUGGUCGGUACAGAGGGCAGCAAGACCGCAAGGUGGAGCAAAUCCCAGAAAGCCGAUCUCAGUUCAGAUUGUAGUCUGCAACUCGACUACAUGAAGCUGGAAUUGCUAGUAAUGGCGGGUCAGCAACACCGCCGUGAAUACGUUCCCGGGCCUU
rnacentral:rRNA from 1 species